AGAAGCCCGGCCGGCGACUGAAGUCUUCAGCUCUCAUGGAUUGGGGGCUGGGAAAGAUAUGAGAAGACAGAAGUCAGAGACAAGAAGAGGCUAACAUGACUCAUACCACUAUAAUUUAGUGAACUGCCUCUUUUCUAAAGAGGACUCCAAAGGAAGGACUGGUCAUCUCUUUCAUAUCUCAAAACCAUGGCUCAGGGAUCAGUGUCUUUCAAUGAUGUGACUGUGGACUUCACUCAGGAGGAGUGGCAGCACCUGGAUCAUGCUCAGAAGACUCUAUAUAUGGAUGUGAUGUUGGAAAACUAUUGCCACCUCAUCUCUGUGGGUAAGAAAAUCCUCUUUGAUACUUCAGUAGCAUGCACUUCCUGUCAAAGUGCCUAAGUGUGUAUAAUCUUGAAUUUCAGGAGUAAGAGGUGAUGAAUUCCUUUUGGUUAGCAGAAUGAAUGAUUGUGUCUUCACUUAGCCAGUGCCAGGUGCUACCUAUAUUGUUACACAAAUGGGUGUCUUAAUUUGCAGUACUGAACAUGCCCCCUUCCUCAUUUUU
rnacentral:sRNA from 1 species